rnacentral:rRNA from 1 species
AACGAACGCUGGCGGCAGGCUUAACACAUGCAAGUUGAGCGGGAAUGAUUUGUAGCUUGCUAUGAAUCAUGAGAGCAGCGCACUGGUGAGUAACACGUGGGAACAUACCUUUUGGUGGGGGACAACAUCUGGAAACGGAUGCUAAUACCGCAUAAGCCCUGAGGGGGAAAGGAGAGAUUUGCCGAAAGAUUGGCCCGCGGAAGAUUAGGUAGUAGGUGGGGCAACGGCCUACCUAGCCGACGAUCUAUAGCUGGUCUGAGAGGACGAUCAGCCACAUUGGAACUGAGACACGGUCCAGACUCC